rnacentral:lncRNA from 1 species
ACAAAUGCAUCAGUGAUGUGACCAAUGAUGAAAUAAUCGGUAGACAGUUGUUAAUAGCACAAAACAAUCUGUAGAUGAAAUAAACGAAAUAAUUGUGCCGAGCGUAACACCAAAACGUUCACAAAAUGCUGAUGUCAAAAGUUUGUACGAAAUUUUGCAAAAAUUUGCUAAAGAAAAAGAUUCGUAAGAGAAAGAACAUAGAGGUUGCAAAGAAUCUACUAAAAAUCACAAUGUCAGGAAAUUGUAUUCAACUAAAGUAUAAACUACUCCCGUUGUUUCAACCAAAACACCCUUAGGUUACAACAUAAUAUCCUCAGAAGGAAAGGAAUCUGACUCAAAAUUAAUUGAAGCUCUUUGGGAGAAUAUUUUAUGAAACUUUUAUAACAUACUGUGUAGUAUUCUCACGAUGAGUCAAUCAAGUAUAAAUAUUACUCCUAAUAUUUAUAUCUACGUACAGACUUAAUAUUUCAUAUUCAUAACUCCUGUCUCUUGAGAUAUGGUCAUCAGUCUACAUACAUAAUAGUCUCUACGUUUUAUUAUUAUCUCAAUUUAUACUAAAACUUGACUACUUAUACUUGACUACAAAUACUUUUAAGAAUAAUAUUCUUUCUGUUAAUGUAAUCUCAUGAUUAAGUCACACUUAAUGUUCCAUCACAUGAACUAUAUAUUCUAAGGACUUUAUUAAUUUUACAAUAAGUAUAAUAAAAGAAUGUCUUAUUUUGUUUAAUAAUAAAAGUCAUGAUACAUAUAAUAAGUUUAAGGCUUAAUUGCCCUUUUGGCCCCCUAUGUUUUAAGAAGUUGCGAUUUUGGCCCCCUAACUAAUUAAAAUACAAAAUAGCCCCCUAUGUAUUGGAUUUUUGGCAGUUUUGGCCCCCUAACUGAUUAAAAUACAAAACAGCCCCCUAUGUAUUGGAUCUUUGGCAGUUUUGGCCCCCUAGACCAAUUUUGACUCGGUCAACGCUGACGUGGCACUUCAAAGGCACCACAUGUGCAUUGUUUUAAUUAAAAAUAAAUAAAAAAAAUCCACAUAUAACUUAAAGAAUUAAAUAAAUGAAAAAAACAACAAAUAAUUAAAAAAAAAAGAAGGAAAUUGUGCUCCAAAAUCUGAUUCUAGCUCUUCUUCCUCUCAUCUCUCUCUAAAACACUGAUUCAAGAACCUGCUCCAUUGACAGAAGCAUGGAAAAAGUGAAAAAAAUGAUGAGUAGCUCAAUGCAAGCACGAUAAUGAAAUAAUCUUCUAUUGAACGAAACGAAAGUUUCGUUUUUAUCAAAAGAAAAAGGAGCAUAUCACAUGCACUUUGACAUAUAUAAAAUGCACAAAACAAGGCAGGUAUUAGUUGCAUGUUGCUUAUACAUAACUUGAAUAAGAAUUACACCUCCAUUGUUCCCUAACAAUUCAAUAGCCUGAUAUAUUUAUCAUAUAAAUUCUUUUUUUUCCUCUGUUACUCUGUCAUUUCCUAUCUGUAUAUUUAUUAUAAACUGCUCAGUUAUUUGUUAAUUUGCAGUUAUAAAUGCAAUAUUAUCAGUGUCAGCAUGAAUAAUGCAAGAAUAUCUGAAUAAUCUUUGAUAAUAUGAAUAUCUAUUCUUGAAUCAAUUCUUGAAUCAAUUAAAAAGUGGUUUAAAACUCCUCAUCUGAGACACAAUAACUUCUACAUGUUAUCUUGAAUGCAUGAAUAAGAACUCCCUGUAUUGUCAAUUUGAUGAUCUCCCAAAAAAAUCAGAACAAUCACAUACUUUUUACAUUAUUAAAAGUAGGGUUAAAUAUGUUUUUGGUCCCUAUAAAUAUGGCAAUUUUUCAUUUUAGUCCCUCUAAAAUUUUUCUUCAACCUUUAGUCCCUAUAAAAUUUUCAAUCUUCACUUUUGGUCCCUCUUUUAAAGUAAACUCAUAUGUAGAAUUCAUAUUUCUAAAUAUAAUCUUCCAGAAAAAUUCAAAAUAUUAUAAGAAUUACUCUAAAAAAUUUUUAGAAUUUUUUAACAAAACAUGAAUUUAAUAUGAAUUUUUAUAUUUUUUACGGUUAAAAAUUCAUAUUUAAUUUGUGUUUUGUUAGAAAAUUCUAAUUGUUUUUAGGAAAUUCUUUUAGAAUAUUUUACACAUUUCUGCACAAUUUCAUUAAAACAUACAAAAAUUAAAUUUAAAAUAGGGACCAAAAGUAGUGAUUGAAAAUUUUAUAGGGACUAAAAAUUGAAGGAAAAUUUUAGAGGGACUAAAACAAAAAGUUGACAUAUUUAUAGGGACCAAAAACAUAUUUAACCCUUAAAAGUAUAAUGAUAAUUUCUAUUUAUAUUUACUCAUCAACUCUAUUCCUGAAUGCUACAACUAGUUUGUUGGAACAAAAUGUGUUUCACAAUGAACCUUAAUGAGUUUUGAUGAUAACAAGGUAUUAAAAAUUGUCAAUUGGUUAUUACUAAUAAUUGUUUAAGUAUACAGGACCAAAAGCUAGUAAAGUAAUUUCAAUAGGUCUUGGAAGAACAGUGGAAAGCAAAGGAAUACUAAGCAUCUGAAGAAAACUGCGUCUGAAGCUUAAAGUGCUUCUGAAGCUGAAGUGCAUCUGGAGUGAUGACGUCAUCAGAAGCAGAAGCUCAUCAGAAGCAAGGUUUUCAUCAGAAGCGAUAUCAUCACCAGAAGCUACAUUUAAUCCGUAAAUUCAAACUCAAGAUCCAAAGUAGCUGUUUCUCAUUUCAACAUUAUCUAAGAAGAACGAAGAAUUGAAAGGGAGGUAUCAACGGUCAUUUGGAUAGCACUGAGUAUCUGUCCUUCGUUAACAGAGUUGACAAAGUACAAGUGUACAACCACUACCUCCACUACUCUGUUUUGUCCACGCUACAAGACAAGACAACAGCUAUGCCUGCAGAAUUUGUGCCUUCAAGAUGGGAAUGAAUUUGAAGUUAAUUCCUCAAAGGACUACACCCAAAUCAGGCAAAGGAUUACUGGUGAAUGAUCAAAGGAUUUCAAACGACUCUUUAGACGUGCUAAUCAUCUCAACGUCUCUUUCACACCUCUAUAUAAAGGAGUGAAGACUUGAAGAUUGUAGAUAGAGAUACACAAGUUAAAAAGCGCCAAAACUCUGUCAAUUUGAUUCUACAAAGCACACUGAAUUUUUGCACUGAUUUGAUACAUCUUAGAAAUUCAAAAGUCUAGAGUCUUUAACGUAUUAUAUUGUGAACACCACUAAUUGUAUAUCAAGUGUUCAAGUCAAACUUAUAUCAUUGUAUUUUUGUUUGAUCAGAAGCCUUUUGCCUGCGUGCUUGAGCAUUAGAAGACUCUUGCUUAGUGCUUGAGCAUUGGAAGACUCUUGCGUGUGUGCUUGAGCAUUUUUGAGAAGUCUCAUACUUAGAGAGUAUUGAGCAUUUGCAAUCUUUGUGAUUAUAGUGAAAUCUCCUUGGAAGUGCAAGGGGGACUGGACUACUUCCGAUUUGUGGAAGGAACCAGGAUAACUGCUUGUGUCUUGCCUUUCUUUUCUCUGCUUUGAUCUUUUUCGCUGCAUAUCUGAUUCUGAUCAUUUCAUCAGAAGCAUUCACAAACUACUUCUGAAGUUUUAUCAGAAGAAGAUUUUUUUAGAGAGAAAAAGAAAACACAAUUCAACCCCCCCUUCUUGUGUUUUUCUCACCUUCAAUUGGUAUCAGAGCUUGCUCUGUUAUCAUAGCACUUAACCGUGUGACAGAUCAAAAUCCAAGAAAAACAUGUAUGAUGGAGAGGAAUCAACUACUUCUAUAAAAUACAAUAGUGUCAAACAUGACUAUGAUACUGCUGAAAGGAAAUCAGAUUCUGGAAAAGCUUCAAAGUUCAAUGGAGAUCCAGAAGAGUUUUCAUGGUGGAAAACCAAUAUGUACAGCUAUAUCAUGGGAUUGGAUGAAGAACUAUGGGAUAUUCUUGAAGAUGGAGUUGAUGAUUUGGAUUUGGAUGAAGAAGGAGCUGCUAUUGACAGAAAAAUACACACUCCUGCUCAGAAGAAGCUUUAUAAAAAGCAUCACAAGAUCAGAGGAAUUCUUGUUGCUUCUAUUCCUCGUGCUGAAUACAUGAAGAUGAGUGAUAAAUCCACUGCUAAGGCAAUGUUUGCAUCACUCUGUGCCAACUACAAAGGAAGCAAGAAGGUUAGAGAAGCAAAGGCCCUAAUGCUAGUUCAUCAGUAUGAGCUGUUCAAGAUGAAGGAUGAUGAGAGUAUAGAGGAGAUGUACUCAAGAUUUCAAACUUUAGUAUCUGGACUGCAAAUACUGAAGAAGAGCUAUGUUACUUCUGAUCAUGUUAGCAAGAUUCUCAGAAGCUUGCCUUCUAGAUGGAGACCCAAAGUAACUACUAUUGAGGAAGCUAAGGAUCUAAACACUUUGAGUGUUGAAGAUCUUGUCAGUUCCCUCAAGGUACAUGAAAUGAGUCUGAAUGAGCAUGAGUCCUCUAAAAAGAGUAAAUCUAUUGCUCUACCAUGUAAAGGAAAGUCUUCUAAAUCUUCCAAAGCUUACAAGGCCAGUGAAUCUGAAGAAGAAUCACCUGAUGGAGAUUCUGAUGAAGAUCAUUAUGUGAAGAUGGCUAUACUGUCUAACAAGCUUGAGUAUUUGGCAAGGAAGCAGAAGAAGUUUUUGAGCAAGAUGGGUGGCUAUAAGAACUCCAGGAAAGAAGAUCAGAAGGGGUGCUUCAACUGUAAGAAGCCUGGUCAUUUCAUUGCUGAUUGCCCUGAUCUUCAGAAGGAGAAGUCUAAAAGCAGACCCAAGAAACCAAGCUUCAGCUCUAGCAAAUUCAGAAAGCAAAUCAAAAAGAGUUUGAUGGCGACCUGGGAAGAUAUGGACACUGAAUCUGGUUCUGAUAAAGAAGAAGCAGAUGAUGAUGCAAAAGCAGCCAUGGGGUUAGUGGCAACAAUAUCAUCGGAAGUAGUAUCAGAAGCUGAAUCAGAUUUAGAAGAUGAAAAUGAGGUAUAUUCCAAGAUCCUCAGACAAGAACUUUUUGAUUCUCUAAAAGAACUCUUAUCACUAUUUGAACACAGAACCAAUGAGUUAUCUGAUUUAAAAGAAAAAUAUGUUGAUUUAAUGAAACAACAAAAAACAACUCUAUUGGAACUGAAAGCUUCUGAAGAAGAACUCAAAGGGUUUAACUUCAUAUCAACAACAUAUGAAGACAGACUCAAGAUUCUUUGUCAGAAGCUACAAGAAAAAUGUGAUAAAUGUUCAGGCAAUAAACAUGAAAUUGCCUUGGAUGAUUUUAUUAUAGCUGGCAUAGACAGAAGCAAAGUUGCUUCUAUGAUCUACAACACAUACAAAAACAAUGGCAAAGGGAUUGGAUAUUCUGAGGAUAAAUCCAAAGAAUACAGUCUCAAGAGCUACUGUGAUUGUAUCAAGGAUGGAUUGAAAUCCACCUUUGUGCCUGAAGGUACUGAUGCUGUAACUGCUGCUCAGUCAGAACCUGAAACUUCUGGUUCUAAGGCUAAGAUCACUUCAAAACCAGAAAACCUCAAGUCUAAGGUUAUGACAAAAUCUGAUCCUAAGACUCAAAAGAUAAAAAUUCUGAAAAGAUCAGAACCUGUUCCUCAGAGUCUGAUUAAACCAGAAUCUAAAAUCCCAAAGCCAAAGGAUCAGAAGAACAAAACAGUUACUGCUUCUGAGAAAACAAUACCUAAAGGUGUUAAACUUAAAGUAUUGAGUGAUCAGAAGCUACUCAGCACUCACCCCAAGGUACAAGGGAGGAAAAGUAAAACCUCCAGAACUAACCCAAAAGGACCCAUGAAGAUAUGGGUACCUAAAUCUGAAUUGGUUAAAACUGCAGGUGUGCCUAAGGGCAAGAGAGAAACAAAGGUCAUGGUACCUAGACAGCGGGUGUUCAAGGCACAUGAUUGGAGAGAAAGCUUUGUUCCUUACCCUUACCAUGAAAGAUGGAGGAGAAGUGAAGUUUGGUGGCAACCAAACUGGAAAAAUCAUUGGUACAGGUACUAUUGGUAAUUCCUCCAUUUCAAUUAAUAAUGUGUGGCUUGUAGAUGGUCUGACGCAUAACCUAUUGAGCAUUAGUCAAUUUUGUGACAAUGGGUAUGAUGUAAUGUUCAGUAAGACCAACUGCACACUAGUCAACAAGGAUGACAAAUCCAUUUCAUUCAAGGGAAAGAGAGUUGAGAAUGUCUACAAAAUUAAUUUCUCUGAUCUGGCUGAUCAGAAGGUAGUUUGCCUUCUGUCAUUGAAUGAUAAAAAGUGGGUAUGGCAUAGAAGGUUGGGACAUGCUAAUUGGAGAUUAAUUUCUAAAAUUAGCAAGUUACAACUUGUCAAAGGAUUGCCUAACAUUGAUUAUCAUUCAGAUGCACUUUGUGGUGCAUGUCAGAAAGGGAAAAUUGUGAAAAGUACUUUCAAAUCCAAAGACAUUGUAUCAACCUCAAGACUCUUAGAAUUACUCCAUAUUGAUCUUUUUGGACCAGUUAAUCCUGCAUCUUUAUAUGGAAGUAAAUAUGGAUUAGUCAUUGUUGAUGAUUACAGCAGAUGGACUUGGGUAAAAUUCAUUAAAAGUAAAGACUAUGCAUGUGAAGUGUUUAGCAGCUUCUGCACUCAAAUACAAUCUGAAAAAAAAUUGAAAAUUUUGAAAGUCAGAAGUGAUCAUGGUGGAGAAUUUGAAAAUGAGCCAUUUGAAUCUUUUUGUGAAAAACAUGGGAUUCUCCAUGAAUUUUCUUCUCCUAGAACUCCACAACAAAAUGGGGUUGUAGAGAGAAAGAACAGAACCUUACAAGAAAUGGCCAGAACCAUGAUCCAUGAAAACAAUUUAGCUAAACAUUUCUGGGCAGAAGCAGUUAAUACUUCAUGUUAUAUUCAAAAUAGGAUCUAUAUCAGACCUAUGUUGGAGAAAACUGCAUAUGAACUCUUUAAAGGAAGAAGACCCAAUAUCUCUUACUUUCAUCAGUUUGGAUGUACCUAUUACAUUCUAAACACUAAAGACUAUCUGAAUAAAUUUGAUGCCAAGGCUCAAAGAGGAAUCUUUUUAGGUUACUCUGAAAGGUCAAAGGCGUACAGAGUGUAUAAUUCAGAAACACAUUGUGUUGAAGAAUCUAUGCACGUUAAAUUUGAUGAUAGAGAGCCUGGAAGUAAAACUCCAGAGCAAAGGGAAAGUAAUGCAGGUACAACUAAUUCUGAAGAUGCAUCAGAAUCUGAUCAACCUUCUGAUUCUGAAAAGCAUCCAGAAGUUGAAUCUAGUUCAGAAGCUGAACAUACUCCAGAAGCUGAGUCUAUUUCAGAAGCAGAAUCUAGUCCAGUAAUACAGAAUGAUAAUGCUUCUGAGGACAUUCAAGAUAACACUCACAGGUUAUUCAACCAAAAUUCAAGCACAAAUCUUCACAUCCUGAGGAGCUAAUCAUUGGAAGCAAAGAUAGUCCUAGAAGAACAAGAUCACAUUUCAGACAAGAAGAAUCUUUGAUAGGUUUGCUUUCAAUAAUUGAGCCUAAAACUGUUGAAGAAGCUCUCUCAGAUGAUGGAUGGAUAUUAGCUAUGCAAGAAGAGCUAAAUCAGUUUCAGAGGAAUGAUGUGUGGGAUCUGGUACCCAAACCUUGUCAGAAGAACAUUAUUGGAACAAAAUGGGUAUUCAGAAACAAGCUGAAUGAACAAGGAGAAGUAACCAGAAACAAAGCUAGACUUGUUGCACAAGGUUACAGUCAACAAGAAGGCAUUGAUUACACUGAAACAUUUGCUCCAGUUGCAAGAUUGGAAGCAAUCAGGUUACUUCUAUCCUACGCAGUUAAUCAUGACAUAAUAUUAUAUCAAAUGGAUGUCAAAAGUGCUUUUCUUAAUGGUGUCAUUGAAGAAGAAGUGUAUGUCAAACAACCUCCUGGGUUUGAGGAUCUUAAGCAUCCUGACCAUGUUUAUAAACUUAAGAAAUCACUAUAUGGCUUGAAACAAGCUCCCAGAGCUUGGUAUGAUAGGCUAAGUAAUUUCUUAAUUAAAAAUGAUUUUGAAAGAGGACAAGUUGACACAACACUCUUCAGAAGGACUCUUAAGAAAGACAUUUUGAUUGUGCAAAUAUAUGUUGAUGAUAUAAUAUUUGGUUCUACUAAUGCAUCUCUUUGCAAGGAAUUUUCUAAGUUAAUGCAGGAUGAAUUUGAAAUGAGCAUGAUGGGAGAAUUGAAAUUCUUUCUUGGAAUUCAAAUCAACCAAAGUAAAGAAGGAGUAUAUGUUCAUCAAACAAAAUAUACAAAGGAGCUUCUGAAGAAGUUCAAGCUAGAAGAUUGUAAAGUGAUGAACACUCCAAUGCAUCCAACCUGCACCUUAAGCAAAGAAGAUACUGGAACUGUAGUAGACCAGAAGCUAUACAAAGGUAUGAUUGGUUCUCUAUUAUACAUCACUGCAUCUAGACCUGAUAUUUUAUUCAGUGUACGCUUGUGUGCAAGAUUUCAAUCAGAUCCUAGAGAAUCUCAUUUAACUGCAGUUAAGAGAAUCUUCAGGUAUCUGAAAGGAACAACUAAUCUUGGACUCCUGUAUAGGAAAUUCCUAGAUUAUAAGUUAAUUGGAUUCUGUGAUGCUGAUUAUGUUGGUGACAGGAUUGAAAGAAAAUCAACCAGUGGAAAUUGUCAAUUCUUGGGAGAGAAUCUGAUAUCCUGGACAAGCAAAAGACAAGCAACUAUUGUUAUGUCUACAGCAGAAGCAGAAUACAUUUCAGCUGCAAGUUGUUGCACACAACUACUUUGGAUGAAACAUCAGUUGGAAGAUUAUCAGAUUAAUGCUAACAGUAUUCCCAUCUUUUGUGAUAAUACUGCUGCUAUUUGUUUGUCUAAGAAUCCAAUUCUACAUUCUAGAGCCAAGCAUAUUGAGAUCAAACACCAUUUUAUCAGAGACUAUGUUCAAAAAGGAAUUUUAGAUAUACAAUUCAUUGAUACUGAACAUCAAUGGGCUGAUAUAUUUACAAAACCUUUAUCUGUUGAAAGAUUUGAUUUUAUUAAGAAAAAUUUGAACAUGCACUUUGUGUCUGAUUGAAAAUUUGCUUGCCUCUGAAUAAGAAGUUUGGUUCUGAAGUCCAUUCAGAAGCAUCUGGUCCAUCAGAAGCUCUUAACUGAAGUUCUGAGGAAAAUGUGCUUUUGAAGAUGAUGUCAACACUAAAACUUCAGAAGCGGUAUUCUUUGCUUCUGAAUAGCAUGGCUAGUGGGAUCGUUUUCUGAAAAGUUUCUGACGUGGUCUAUUUGUAUUGGAGUAUAACAAAAAGGACACUGAUGUUUUAUUUGCUUUUAAACAUACUAACACGCGCCCCCAAUUUGUCAUUAAUGCUAUGUUUGUUUGUCUCAUUUGAAUUGCAAACGUUUUUGAUAAAAACACUUAAACAAACACACACUACUCACUUCACAACUCACACUUUCAUUUCUUUUCAAACCUUCUCUGCUAAGAAACUCCAAAAACCCUAGAAACCCUUUUCAUCUUCAAUCAAUUUUAUGGCUUCUUCAAGUUUUGCACCUGAUUCAUCAUCAAACAUGCAACAAGAAGAGGCUCCUGCCUACGUAAUUAAAGGAAGAACCAUGUCAUUGGAGGAAUGGGAUUUGAAGAUUCAAUUAGAAAAUCCAGUGGAUUUUGUUUCUUUGGCCGCUCACAACUGCGAUAUUGGAAGUUUCUACGAAGCGCAAGGCUUGGGGAGCUACUUCAAUUUUCUGAACGGUCCAACUUAUCAAACUUUGGUACGACAUUUCUAGGUUAGAGCCAGUAUCUUUGAUAGAGAUGCUGCUAAGAUUGAAGAAGAUGAAAAAGUUCUUCUCAAUCCAGAACUCAAGGGUAAAUCCAGAGAGGAAAUAGGCUUGGAGCCAUUUACUAAAACUCAGAUUCGAUCAAGCAUCAUGGGGAUUCCUGUAUGGAUCAAUGAGGAUGUGAUUGCUUUUGUCCUCAGAAGACCAGCAGAAGGAGAUUAUAAGGCUGAAAUCACUAAGCCCAAGGAUAGCCCCUGGAAUGAUGUUGUGAAUAAAACUCUCUACAACAAGGUCAAGGACUUUACCUAUGCAGAUAUGAAUGCCAAGACCAAAGUGAUGCUGAAAAUUCAAAAUGACAACCUACUACCAAAAGGUGGUGGUAGUGAUCAACCAUCUCUGGAACACAAAAUCCUCUUACACUUUUUCAUAACUGGUGUAAAGGCAAAUGUGCCCAGAUACAUUUUCAGACAUAUGGUACAACAGCUCAGAGAGAGCCAGCUGAAGAAUAGGUGCUGGGUACCCUAUGGGAGGCUACUCUCUGAGAUUUUUCAUCAAGGAGGUAUCAUCAAGAUGCUGAAGGAGGCAGAAUUCUUCACAGAUGAACAGUUGGGAACUGUUAGAGGAAGAUUAUGAAUGCUGAAACUUUGAGGUCCAUGCGUCUGAUUGAUGUAAAAUAUCUUAAGAAACUACCCACAGAUUUGAAGGCAUCUGAUGCCAAAUCAGCAUUGAUUCCAAAUUUUCCCCCCAUCUGUAAGCAAGAUCCUUUGGAUGUUCAGAUGAACUUUAUCAGAGAACAUUUUGAAAGGACAAGGGAGAAGAUCAGCCUGAAAGAUGUGCCUGAACAGAUGUUUGGAGGUAUUCUUCCUGUUGCCAAGAGCAGGAAAUCAAAGAGCAGGCCCCUUUCAAAAGAAGAGUACUUGGAAGAAGAAGAGGCUAACAGGAAACCUUCCAAGAGGACCAGAAAAGAAACCAAGGUUGAGGUUGCAGCACAAAAGCCCAAGAAAUCCAAAACAAUUGUCUCUGCUUCUGAAGAAGCUGCUGCUUCUGAAGAAGUUCCUGUUUCUGAAGAAGUUGUUCAGAAGCAAAAAAACAACAAAUCUGAUGCUAGGGAAGCUGCUCUUCAAACCAUCAGAAACAAGAGAACAAGAAAUCUGAAGACUUCUGAAGGAAGCACGGAGGAACGUGUUGAACAGUUAGGAGCUUUGGAAGAAGAGCCAAGUGCUAAGAAGGCUAAGAGUAAUAAGCCUAGUGUAAUGUCAAUGUUUGUUCCUACAGAAGAACAAUGGCAAUAUGCUAGAAAUUAUACUACUACUGAGUUGGCUAGGAGAAAGCAGUUAAGACAACAGAAGAAAAGGGAGGAACAACUCAAGGCUGCAGGGUAUAAGUUUGCUCCUGAGAAGGCUGCUGAGUUUGUUGCUUUAGCUGCUGAAGUUGAACAAGAAACUGUCCAGGAAGGAGUAAAAUUGUUAUCUCAAGCUUUGAAAGAUAAGCAUGCUUCAGGAGCUACUUCAUCAGAACCAGCAUCUAAAGCUCCAGAAGCAGCUCAUCCAGAAGCUCACUCUUCAGGUACUUCCUUAAAAGCUAAAGUCAAUACUCAGAUUCCUGACCUUCCAUCUUCACCCUCAUCAUCAUCCACUGAAUCAGAUGACAAACCUCUAAGUCAGCACAUUGAAAAACUCCUAAACCGCAAACCUACCAAACUAACAACCUAUGUAUCAAUUGAUUAUGAGCAGACCCAAAUUGAAUUCUCUAAACAGAGGAUAAAAAUCUGUGAAAAAUUCAAUUUACCUGCUGAUCACUUCUUUCAACCAUCUAUUCCAGAAGCUGUUAGUAUACAAUUUCCUGAAACCAACCCACAAAAUAACCAAUCCCCACCAAAAGCCUCUGAAGUAGUUUCAGAAGCAACUACUUCAGAAAUCCCCCAACAACAAGGAUCAUCAACCCUUCACAACCUAGAAAAGCAUUUAGGUGGUGAAAUGCAACCUACACCCACAAAGGCCUCUAAGACAGUCCCUGAAAAGACUGUUUUGGAAAACCAACAAACAACCGCUCAAACUGAAACAAUUAUCCCUGAACAAACUGUUCCUGAACAGGUUGUUUCUGACCAAGAACAAGGUGCUUCUGAACAAUAUGUUCAUGAAUACAAUGUUUCUAACCAACAACAAACUACCACAGAACAACCCCAACCUAACACAGAACAACAACAACCAGAAUCACCAAAAAUUGACUUAACCACUCCUGAACAUCAAACAGCCUCUAACCAACCUUCUACAUCUCAAUCAACCAUUCCUGAAUCUUCACCCAUCCCAGACACCAUCCUGGAAUCUGAAUAUAUUGAUGAACAGCUUAUCAGGUUAAGUGAUGAGAUUCAGACACUGAUUCUUCUCAGAACAGUUCCUGUACCUCCCAUUCACUAUCUUGAUCAAUGGAUGGUUCUGAAAAAAGGCUUCAAUAAACUGCUAGAUCAACUGAGCACAAAAUGUGUCUCAUCUCACUCUGCUAUGCUGAAGAAAAUAUUGGAUGAUAUGCAUGAAGCAGCUAGAGUGAAAGAGCUUGAUUAUGUGCCUCUGUUAGCCAACACUCCUUUCUAUCCAGAAGCUGAUUACAUCUCAAGGGCUGAUAGAAUUCAAGAAGGGCUGAGAAGAAGACUGAGAGCCAAGGAUGAAGAACUUCAGAAGUAGUCUGAGCAGAUUAAAUACUUAUUGGAACAAGUGUCUAAGCUAUCCAAACCUUAGUUGCACACCAAUUCUUUUUGAAUGUUUAGAUCUUGUUUUAAGUAUUGCAUUGCUUUGACUAUGUAUUUUAACUGGUUUAUCAUUGCUUCUGAAUCAAUUCAAUAUUUCUCAUGCUAUUUUCAAGUUAUUGCUCUGAAAAUAAUUGCUAUAUUUGUUGUGUCAUUGGCUCUAAUACACUGUAUUUUAAAGUUUAUCCUUCUGUUGCUCUGAUACUCUUUCUUUUGUUUUUUUACUUACUUUUUGUUGAUGACAAAAGGGGGAGUAGAUGUAUAGUAUUUUUAAGGCUUUGAGCCCCAUCAAAUUAACUUUUUGAUAUGAGUUUUGCUCAAAACCACUUCUAAACCUUUUUUUUAAUACUUCUGAUUUUUCUAUGAGUAUUUUAUUGAAAUUUAAUUAAUGAGUAUAGAACUCAGGGGGAGCUUACAAACCUCUCCUUAAAGAUCUAUUAGACUCAGGGGGAGCUUACAAACCUCUAUCCCAGUAGUCAACUUAUUAAUUAAAUCAACAACAAUUGAACAGUUUAAAUACUAUUGUUUGUCAUCAUCAAAAAGGGGGAGAUUGUUGGAACAAAAUGUGUUUCACAAUGAACCUUAAUGAGUUUUGAUGAUAACAAGGUAUUAAAAAUUGUCAAUUGGUUAUUACUAAUAAUUGUUUAAGUAUACAGGACCAAAAUCUAGUCAAGUAAUUUCAAUAGGUCUUGGAAGAACAGUGGAAAGCAAAGGAAUUCUAAGCAUCUGAAGAAAACUGCGUCUGAAGCUUAAAGUGCUUCUGAAGCUGAAGUGCAUCUGGAGUGAUGACGUCAUCAGAAGCAGAAGCUCAUCAGAAGCAAGGUUUUCAUCAGAAGCGAUAUCAUCACCAGAAGCUACAUUUAAUCCGUAAAUUCAAACUGAAGAUCCAAAGUAGCUGUUUCUCAUUUCAACAUCAUCUAAGAAGAACGAAGAAUUGAAAGGGAGGUAUCAACGGUCAUUUGGAUAGCACUGAGUAUUUGUCCUUCGUUAACAGAGUUGACAAAGUACAAGUGUAACCACUACCUCCACUACUCUGUUUUGUCCACGCUACAAGACAAGACAACAGCUAUGCCUGCAGAAUUUGUGCCUUCAAGAUGGGAAUGAAUUUGAAGUUAAUUCCUCAAAGGACUACAUCCAAAUCAGGCAAAGGAUUACUGGUGAAUGAUCAAAGGAUUUCAAACGACUCUUUAGACGUGCUAAUCAUCUCAACGUCUCUUUCACACCUCUAUAUAAAGGAGUGAAGACUUGAAGAUUGUAGAUAGAGAUACACAAGUUAAAAAGCGCCAAAACUCUGUCAAUUUGAUUCUACAAAGCACACUGAAUUUCUGCACUGAUUUGAUACAUCUUAGAAAUUCAAAAGUCUAGAGUCUUUAACGUAUUAUAUUGUGAACACCACUGAUUGUAUAUCAAGUGUUCAAGUCAAACUUAUUUCAUUGUAUUUUUGUUUGAUCAGAAGCCUCUUGCCUGCGUGCUUGAGCAUUAGAAGACUCUUGCUUAGUGCUUGAGCAUUGGAAGACUCUUGCGUGUGUGCUUGAGCAUUUUUGAGAAGUCUCAUACUUAGAGAGUAUUGAGCAUUUGUAAUCUUUGUGAUUAUAGUGAAAUCUCCUUGGAAGUGCAAGGGGGACUGGACUACUUCCGAUUUGUGGAAGGAACCAGGAUAACUGUUUGUGUCUUGCCUUUCUUUUCUCUGCUUUGAUCUUUUUCGCUGCAUAUCUGAUUCUGAUCCUUUCAUCAGAAGCAUUCACAAACUGCUUCUGAAGUUUUAUCAGAAGAAAUUUUUUUUAGAGAGAAAAAGAAAACACAAUUCAACCCCCCUUCUUGUGUUUUUCUCACCUUCAUAGUUUACAUGUGUUUGAAAAAUAGAAUACCACUUUACUUCCUCGUGUUUCUGGUUACAAUUCGAAUACGAGAGAGAUUCAAUCGGAGCAAAUCCAUUGUAAAGCUUCAAGAUUUUGGAACAAAGGGUUUUGGAGAGAGAGAAUCAGUGUUUUAGAGAGAGAUGAGAGAAAGAAGUCGAAGAAUCAGAUUUUGGGACACGAUUUCCUUCCUUUUUUUAUUUUUUUUUAUUUUUUUAAUUAUCUGUUGUUUUUUUUCAUUUAUUUAAUUCUUUAAUUUAUAUGUUGUUUUUAUUUAUUUUUAAUUAAAACAAUGCGCAUGUGGCGGCUUUUAAGUGUCACAUCAUCUUUGACCGAGUCAAAAUUGGUUUAGGGGGCCAAAACUGUCAAAGAUCCAAUACAUAAGGGGCUGUUUUGUAUUUUAAUUAGUUAGGGGGUCAAAACUGCCAAAAAUCCAAUACAUAGGAGGCUGUUUUGUAUUUUAAUUAGUUAAGGGGCCAAAAUCGCAACUUUUUAAAACAUAGGGGACCAAAAAUACAAUUAAGCCUAAGUUUAAUAUAAACUACUGGCUUUUGGGGCUUACACCAACAACUCCAUAAUUUAUUAUUUGAAUAAAACAGGAUCAUCAUGGAUUCCUGGUAAAUCAAUUCUAGGGAUACUAAUCUUUGAAUUUUAUUCAUUGACUGAAACAUCGUUGAUAUUAGAUUAUCCACAAUUACGUGUCAAUUGGGAUUCAUCCAUGAUUGAUAUACAAAUCUUGGAAGAUAUCCCUGUCAAGUUAUUUAUCUAGAAAUGCACUGAUAAUUUAGACAAAAAAUAUUUGUAGUAAAGCAUACAUCUACCUUGUGUACCUUCACAUGACAAAUAUUCUAGUUUCACCUAACAUGAUGAUGUUUCAAAUCAAAACUAUUAUGACAUUCAUAUAUCGGAAAUUUUACCCUAUAUCUCUACAUUUAUACCUUUGAAAAAUUCUAAUAUGGUCACAUGAUCAAAGAAAUAGUGUUUGGUCAAACAUACAUGAAUAAGUAUUUUUUUACUCCCUUCGUCCCUUAAUGUAGGCACCCAUUUUCUUUUUCACAUUUUUUAAGAAAAAUUGUCGGUGUAAUUAAUGUGUCUGUUUUAUGUUAAUAUUACCAAAUUGUCAUUUGUUUGUAUGUGUAUAAAAUUUGACUUUUUAUAUUUCAAGAUAAAUUAGUAGUAUUAAUUAGGGGUAUGUUUAGGAAAACAAUAAUAAAUGCAUAUAGUAAUUUGAAAAGAGGUUUAGAUUUAGGGACAAAAAUAAAGUCAAAUGGGUGCUUAGAUAUAGGGACGGAUGGAGUAAUAAUAAAGAAGAAAUUGAUAAAAAAAGAUGAGUGAGUAUUUUGAGGAGAAUUUUUUAUGUGUGUGUCCAAACAUUAUUGAUUUGGUCUUGUGACCGUGGAAGAAUACCUCCUAUACCCUCACCCCUGCAUUUAAUAUGAGUUGUCUAUUUUACCCUUCUAUAUAAAGUUGAAACACCAAUUUUUUUUCCUAACAGUUCUUCAAAAAUUGUCUGUUCACCCCUCUCCCAACUGCAAAUAUUCUAGAAAAAACAUUCUAAGUUUUCCAGAACAACAAAUCGAUCCUUUUCGCGAUUUCACAUACAAAUAACACAAAAGGCAACGUUUACACAUGCUAUGAUUUGAUGAUUUGUAUCAAUUUUUAUUUGCCUUUCAUAAUAGAUCAAAUGAUAACAAUUUACAUGAUAUGUAUUUAUCACUGAUGUAAAUUUAGACUUGCUAGUAUGUGAAUAAGAAACUAAGAAAGGGAAGCUUUACAUGGUCAGAUCAGAUGAUAUGUGUCAGUAUUUCUUUGCCUUUUGAUCCGAUUCAGAUUUUCCAGUCUAAAAGCAUCACGUUUUUUGAAGUAUCUUAUUUUGUUCUUAGUAAUUGGUCAAGUAGCCUAGUGGCUAGUUUCACUAUACAAGAUGAUGUUUUGAAAUCAAAACAGCAAACGUUAGAAAUAGGCAUCUACUUGGCAAUGUAUUAUUUUGAAGACAUAAGCAUAGCAAAAAUUCCAAGUCCAGAUAAUUUUGCUCUACAAUCAUAUUGAAAAUUGUUAUUAUUUUCCAACUCAAAGCUUGAAAUGUUGAAGAACAGAAGUGCCAUCAAGCCCUUUUGCACAUAAGUAGGCUACAUAAUCAGCAAACGUGGUUUCUCUAUAUCUGGGAGGGUUGUCUUCUGAUAAUAAUUCUGUUAUAGGUCCAUAAAGCUUUUCAUGUGCUCUAAGUCCUGCCUUGAAAAAGCAUGCAACAGAUAUUCUUGGACCAAUGUCAUUUGCCAGUACUCUAUGUUCAACACUCUUGAAUUUAUCAUUUGUUAUAAGCUGUAGUUCAUUAAAAUUUAUAAUUAGAUAAAUUCGUGUUAAGGUUAUUUCCACAUAUAAGAAAAAAGUACUUUCUUAGCCGCACAAUGAAACGAUUCAUUUCUAAAAAAAAUCUACCACAAAAUUAUUAACAGUUUUAAUUUUCAAUGCAAUAUUACAACCCUAAUAGUAAAAUAGAGAACUUGCCUGCAGAAGAUCACCAAUAUUAACAACAAGAGCCUCGGGUACCGGUGGUACAUCGAUCCACUUUUCUUGGUAAAGAACUUGAAGACCACCAAUAUGGUCUUGGAGAAGCACUGUGAGAAAACUACCAUCAGAAUGUUUGGUGGUUCCCAUUGUUAAAUCUGGUUCAGGACAAGCAGGAUAGUAAUGACCAAGUAAUAUGUUCCCUUCACAACAAUCUAAGUCCUUUAAAUGGUUUGAAUGCAAUCCAAGAGCUUCUGAUAGUAAUUCAAAGAGUAUUGUUCCAAGUUUCAUUAGACGUGUUCCAUAUUCCAUAAGUAUAUCCCUACAAGAAUAUGAAAUCACCAAGCAAUAAAUUAAGUUCCCUAUAGUAGGAAUAUCAUGUUAUACUUAACCUUCUAGCCUUUUAUAAUUAGCUGUUUAAUUUCACUUAACAUCUUUGAUUGAUAAGUUUUUCAUGUUCAUUAGUAGAGUUUGGAGACACAUGAAACACUAACAUUAUAAUCACAAGAAUAGUUUAAAAAAUCAAGUAAUUAAAUGAAUGUAUCUGUAUGUGUUGGUGUUAUAUAUAGAUACGUGUAGGACACCAAAUACGCCUUUUUGGUGUUAGCUAGUUGGAGAUGGGACUAUUCAUGGUCUAGUUUAGAAAGGAAAAUCAACCCGAACAAAGUUGUUAUAACAAUUUCGUAAAAUUGAAACUGACUAUUAUUGGUUCGUUCUGAAUCGAUCUAGACUUAUAUAAAAGUACAAUUGAUGCAUCAAAUGUGUUUCCGAACCAAAACCACCUUAAUAGAUUUGAAAUAUACCUUUUCAAUCCGAACUGAUUCUUUGGGAACAACAACCUAUGAAAUUUAUGUUAUAAACGGAUAUUAGGACUGUUAAAAAAUCAAAAUUCGAACAAAAUGGGAUGACCGUGUAAAAACCUCAAAAACUGAUUUGCACCGAAAAUAACCAAACUGUUUUUUCACACACAAUACCGACCAAUUCUUUUUGGUGCGAUUUGGAUUAAUGAUUCAAUACAAUUUUUGGUUUUUUUAGCAGCCCGAUUUGGAGACAAUUUCUUACCUAUCUUGCCAAUUAAUAAAAUAUAUUCAAUAUUGAUGAAAGUGACCUAAAAUUUGAGGCCGUGUAUAUGGAUAAGACAUAUAGAGUUAAUGGUAUUUCAUAACUAAUCGAUUGAGCAGCAGCUCGUAGACCACACAAAAAGAAAUAUUUAUUAUUUGACCCAUAUCCUGACAUAAGAAGUCCAAGGGAGCAAUACUCAAAAGAUAAACAAGAACUCACCUGCAUACUACUGGCAAAUCUUCUAGUUUGGGGGCAUUAAGUGCAAAGUCACAUAUAAAAGUAUCCCUCCAAUUAAGUGCUGGUGAACUAUACAAAUCAAAAUUACUAUUAUAAACCAAUGGCCUUGUUUGAUCUCUAGUAUACAUCUCUUUCUUCACUUCAAUAUCUUGUUCAAAGAAUCUAAUCACUCCAUCUUUCAUAUCCUCAAGAACAUUUAUAGGAAUACCAUGAUUAACCACUUGAAAGAAACCCCAUGUCUCAGAUGCUUCCUUUAUUUUGCUUAUAAUUUCUUGCCUUGUAUUUGGAUCUUUGCCAAUAUUUGCUAAGUCUAUAAUAGGAAUAAUGUGUUGUGUGUUGGUUGAAUUUGUGGACUUUGAAAACUUAUCAGGUGGAUGGUGAAAUAAGGUUGGGAUUUUGAGAAUACCUUGAUCAACAAGGCCUUUAACACCAGCUUUUCUUUCAUCAAAUGCUUUGAGAUCCUGCAGCCUAUCAGAGUUGAAUUUGAAGUUGCCUUCAAUUUCAUCUUUAGCAGUAAACCCCAUCUUAGUUUCUUCAGUUUGCAGUGAGUGAAUAUAUAUAUAUAUAUAUAUAUAUACGGAAAAUGAUAACAAGUGCCUUUACGACAUUCUUUAAGCAUCUUACAUUAAAAAUUGUGUCAAUAUUACUGUUACAUGAUUUUAUCUUGUAUUAUAAACAAUUCCCGUAGGACAUUUAUUAACAAAACUAUGUAAAAUUGGUCAAAAAAAAAAAAAAACCAUGUAAAUUAUAAUCCAAAGAAUUAGAGACACAAAUUAUGAUCGCUAGAUCUAAUCAAACAAAUGUCCAUUAUAAAAAUGUAUUCUUGUUGUUUUUGAUUUGCCUACUUACCAAGGUUUGGAUUUUAAAAUUUCACCCCGUUGUACAAAUAGUACGACUAUAAUUCUUAACUCUUAAUCUGCACAUGAACACGAGGAGAUUGCGGAAUACAGGUUGUAAUCCUCUAACAUCAAGAAAAAGAUUAGUUAAAUACCACACUUUUGAAGUAUUUUAUUGAUAGUGGUUUAUUAGAUUGAUGUGGCCAGGAGGGUUUCCUUAAUAAUUUUGUGUAGUAUUUUUAUUUUAGCCUAAUUUUAAUAACUUUCUGUUUUUGUUUCACUUUGUUAUUUUCGGUCUAUGGUUUUUGUUAUUUCCCUAUCUAAGCUUAACAAUUGUAGCUUUUGUAGCCUAACAGAGCAACUAAUUUUUUAUUCAUUCAAUAAUAUUUUAGAGAGUUUUCUCAAUUUCUGUUGGAUUCUGAAACUCUAUUUUCACAAGUUUUGUCUCUUGCAAACUUACUCUUUUCAAUUUAGGUUUAGCGCUUGCUAGCCUACGUAUUUUCAAAAGUUUGUCGCUUGCAAACUUGCUCUUUUCAAUCUAGGUUUAGCACUUGCUAGACUACGCUUCCGACUGCGUCAGUUGGUAUCAGAGCAGAUUUCUCUUGUGCUUUUCCUAACAUGAUCAGCCAUGGGAGAUCAAUCAAUUACGAGUGCAAAAUGUAGGGUAAAAUUUGACGGUUUAAAUGCGGCCAUCAAAGCUCCAUCAGAUAGCGGCGUUGACAUCUAAGGUUGACAAGAACAUAAAAAAAAAUGGAAAAUUUGGACCAAUUAGAGUUCCACGUGGUGUAAACAAUCAAAUUUUUGAGGAUUCGAAUUCUUUAAAGGUGAAGGAGAAGGAUAACAUGAAGCAUCACUGUGAUGAAAAAAGAGAAGUUUAUGAAUACAUGAUUAUCCAACCGAAAGAAAAGGGGAAGUCAAACAGUGGUAAGGGUGAACAUAUAACUUCACGGCCUUUGCAAGCUGCUCACGAUGAAUAUGAAGAGGAAGCUACACUCGCCAAACAAGGAUGUCCUCACAUCGCCAAACUCGGCAAAGGUAGAAGAAUCAAACCGCUCAAACAUUCAAACUUCAACGAAAGAAACUGCAGAGACAAGUUUAGACAAGAUCCAUGUAGGUUUUAAAGUAUCAAAUAGAAAGCCAUGUAGGUUUGAAAUAUAAUUUGACAUUUAUCUCUCUAUAUAACCAUAAUAAUAACAUUGUUUUAUGCUAUGAUUAGUUAUAUGUAAGGUUUACUAUUUGUUAUAAUUUAAAAAUGUCUGGCAUACAGUGAAGCAAUGUCGCCUCUUGAUGUAUAUAGUGAUAGCGUUUAUGAUGUGGACACUAAUAGUGAUACUGAAGAUAUAGAAGUCAAUAACGACAUCAAUGUUCGUAGUGAUAGAGAUGUAGGCAGUAUGGAAUUCAACCAUGGUAAUGGUGUUUGCAGUGAGCAAGGGAAAAGAGAAUUCCAAUGGUUACAAAUGCAUUAGUAAUGUGACAAAUGAUGAAAUAAUCGGUAGAUAGUUGUUAUAAUAGCACAAAACAACCUGUAGAUGAAAUAAAAGAAAUAAUUGUGCUGAGUGUAACACCAAAACGCUCUCAAAUUGCUCAUGUCAAAAGUUUGGCCGAAAUUUUGCAAAACUUUGCUAAAGAAAAAGAUUUGUAAGAGAGAGAACACAGAGUUGCAAAGAAUCCACUAAACUAAAAAUCAUAGUUUCAGGAAAUUGUUUUCAACUAAAGGACACACUACUCCCAUUAUUGCAACCAAAACAC